UCUUGCUGUCCCACAGCUGAGGUGACCAAUUGUCCUGGUUUUCCCUGCAUGACGGAUUUUUCUGGAAGUGAGACUUCCGUGCUGAAGCAGAGGAAGGCGCAUCCCAGGGAGACUAGGAUGGUUGGUUACCCUAUAACAGAACAAAGAGCCUGAAUGACCAAUAUCCCCAUCCUGGAGGCUUGGAAGUCAUUGUUAAACAAUGUCGAUGUCAAAGCACCAGAAAGCAAAUGUCUCUGAGAAAAGGCUAUACCCCAGAAAAAUUAAAUUAGAAUCUUUGGGGUUGGACUCCAACAUCACCAGUAUUUUUUGAAGGUUGUGCCUGCCAAAUGUGCUGUCAAGGUUGAGAACUACUAUGUUAGGCUCAGAGCAACAAACCCUUGACCAUAAACUCCAGCCUGUGUGCAGAUCUAGGUUCUGCCUUACACUUGAGGAGCCAUCUGCCUGAAGCUUAGAACUCUGGGGUGACCCUGUGGCCCUUUGGUAUCCUGGUUGGAGCCCAGCUGCAACUUAACUUCUUGAAGAUCUGUUUUAUACAAAACCAGUGUGUGUACUGGCAUAAGGCUUGGUAUUUACUUUUACCAAAACGUAAAACUCCACAUGCAGAUUGAGACACCUGGCUCUGCAGCAUCCAGGCUCAUUUACAAUACAAUUGUGCCUUCUACCAAGACCAGAAGAAAAGCUUCAGAUUCUUCGAUACCAUCAACUUAACACAGUGCUCCAGCUGUGUCCAGGCACAAAACUCUUCCCAUCCUCUUUUGAUUUGCCCCACACGCUGAGCCCAAGACAAAAGAACGCACUACUCGCAAGUGUGACUCAUGUGAAAAUUGAAACUGCAUGCUCCAUUUUAUUAAGGGCCUUGCUUUCUUUCAGUGGGUUAGAAUAAUUGGGAAUAAAGAUAAACACUGUAAAAUAAACAUGAACACGGAGUCCAAUAAAGUCGGUUUGAAUCAGCUGCUCCCCAGCAAACCUAGUGGACAAGUGGGGAAACUGCAAGAGGCAAAAAGCUAUUGAUGAUCCCAAUGCAUCACUUCACUAGGUGCUUCAUUUAAAUACAUGAUUUGAAUUAAUAGAAACAAUGUCUAAUUAUAAGACACAUGAUAAUUGUAAUAAUCAGGGUUUAUUCAAGAGAAGAGGGAGCCUAGAAGAGAAGAGGGCACCUGGCCAGCAGCAUGGAUGGAUGGCAGAAAGGUUGAAGGCCCAACAGAAGUGAUGUUAUCUAUCGCAGGUUAUAAAGGGAGAAAAGAAGAAAGAUCCAGACAUUCAGUGUGUGCCAAGUGUGCCAGGCAUCACGCUAAGCACCUUACGUGCACCGUGUCUUGUAAUCCUAAUAAUGAAUUUGCAAGAUAGGCAUUACGAUUACUUUUAUUGAAGCUGACACCUUGGGUCAUUUUUCCAGGUACUAAAUAAUAGAAUAAGAAAACUGUCUGGUUUCAUAUGACUCCCACUCGCACUGUUGAUACCACAUCCUGGCACCAUUUUAGAAAACAACUCUGUUGAUUCUGAAAACUAUUGUUAGGUUUUUCAUUAUGAUUUGU